GGGUCGGUGGCGUAGUUGGUUAUCGCAUCUGUCUAACAUUAGCAUCACGUGGUUGUAAUGCUUACGUAAUAGGCGCACAGAAGGUCCUCAGUUCGAACCUGGGCCGACUCA